rnacentral:lncRNA from 1 species
ACCGUUUGUGCUUUCUUAAUACCAAAGGAGUGCUAAGUUUCAAAGCCUAUAAAAGGCAUGAAUCUGCCUUUCCAACAAUUCAUUCACUCUUACAACAACACACAAAACUUCAUGAGAGAGGGUGAAGGCAGAGGAGAUUGAGAGCUACCAAGAAGAGCAGAGGAAUCAUCUUUCCAUCUCUUCUAGCUAUGUAUUGUAAGGUUAUUAUGUAUAACUAAUUCUCUCUUUUGUUGGGACUAGGUGUAAAUUACUCUAUUAGUAUGUGUUUCUAUUGAUCAUGGUUUUAUAUAUGGUUUUAGUUGUCUCUCAAUAUUGAUGUUAUCUUUGAUUUCAUUGUUUUAAUCUUUGAUUUGAAUUGUUAUAGACAUAUGCCUUUUGAAUCUAAGAACUAGGAUAAUAUCUAUUGAACUCUAAAUUCUAGACAUAGAUUUAGGUUUAAUAUUCACUUAGAGUAUUGAAUCUUAAUACUAUUGUAUUGAUUGACGAUCCGAGACAUCGGAGGUUAAUAGAUGCAAUAGAUAUCUCGGCGUUAUCUGGACACGGAAACGUUCGACGAGCGAUACGUGAUAAUAUUGAUAGAUGACUAAAACCUGUGUAANNNNN